UGGGGGAUAUUGCACAAUGGGCGAAAGCCUGAUGCAGCGACGCCGCGUGGGGGAUGAAGGCCUUCGGGUUGUAAACUUCUUUUGCUCUGAACAAGGCAUGCCUUUGGGGUGUGUUGAGUGUAGGGGUUGAUUAGCGCCGGCUAACUACGUGCCAGCAGCCGCGGUAAUACGUAGGGCGCGAGCGUUGUCCGGAAUUAUAGGGCGUAAAGGGCUUGUAGGUGGCUGGUUGCGUCUGUCGUGAAAGCUCAUGGCUUAACUGUGGGUUUGCGGUGGGUACGGGCUGGCUUGAGUGCAGUAGGGGAGGCUGGAAUUCCUGGUGUAGCGGUGGAAUGCGCAGAUAUCAGGAGGAAUACCGGUGGCGAAGGCGGGUCUCUGGGCUGUUACUGACGCUGAGGAGCGAAAGCGUGGGGAGCGAACAGG
rnacentral:rRNA from 1 species